UACGGAGGGUGCAAGCGUUAUCCGGAUUUACUGGGCUUAAAGGGUGCGUAGGCGGUUAGGUAAGUCCGUGGUGAAAUCCUGCAGCUUAACUGCAGAACUGCCGUGGAUACUAUCUAUCUUGAAUGUCGUGGAGGUUAGCGGAAUAUGUCAUGUAGCGGUGAAAUGCUUAGAUAUGACAUAGAACACCCAUUGCGAAGGCAGCUAACUACGCGAAUAUUGACGCUGAGGCGCGAAAGCGUGGGGAUCAAACAGG
rnacentral:rRNA from 1 species